rnacentral:rRNA from 1 species
UACGGAGGAUGCAAGCGUUAUCCGGAUUUAUUAGGUUUAAAGGGUGUGUAGGCGGAUUUUUAAGUCAGGGGUGAAAGCCCACAGCUCAACUGUGGAACUGCCUUUGAUACUGGAAGUCUUGAGUAUAGUUGAGGUAGGCGGAAUGUGCAGUGUAGCGGUGAAAUGCUUAGAUAUUGCACAGAACACCGAUUGCGAAGGCAGCUUACUAAACUAUUACUGACGCUGAUGCACGAAAGCGUGGGGAGCGAACAGG